rnacentral:sRNA from 1 species
GCUGAUCCAUUCUACACAAUCGGGCAGUCAACUCCAAACACAUCAUCAUUCCUGGACACUUCAAAUUCAAGUUUUGGAGCUCCGUCAACAGUGGUUGCCAAUCCGAUGACCAACUAUCAAUUGGCAUUUCAAGCGAAACUCGGAAGUCUUCACAGUUUGAUUGGAGAUUCUGUUCAAUCGUUAACAAGGUUUUUUUAAAAAAAAAUUGAUUUAAUGUUAGCAAUAAUAUUUUUUUUCAGCGAUCGAAUGAUUGAUUUCUUGUCAAACAAGGAGAAGUACGAAUGCGUCAUAUCGAUUUUCCAUGCCAAAGUUGCCCAAAAGUCAUAUGGAAAUGAGAAAAG